rnacentral:rRNA from 1 species
GCGAGCUGGGUUUAGAACGUCGUGAGACAGUUCGGUCCCUAUCUGCCGUGGACGUUUGAGAUUUGAGAGGGGCUGCUCCUAGUACGAGAGGACCGGAGUGGACGAACCUCUGGUGUUCCGGUUGUCACGCCAGUGGCAUUGCCGGGUAGCUAUGUUCGGAAAAGAUAACCGCUGAAAGCAUCUAAGCGGGAAACUUGCCUCAAGAUGAGAUCUCACUGGGAACUUGAUUCCCCUGAAGGGCCGUCGAAGACUACGACGUUGAUAGGCUGGGUGUGUAAGCGUUGUGAGGCGUUGAGCUGACCAGUACUAAUUGCCCGUGAGGCUUGACCAUAUAACACCCAAACA